GUCCGGGACCGAUGUGGCAUCAUUCUGUCCGUCUAUCUCUGUCUGUCACCCAGUGUCAUUAAUGUUUAACACAAAGGGACCGGACAUAUGAAAAGUCAUGUGAGAAAUUGCACUUUAAACUCCAUUGAAGGAAAGCAACAUUCACAUCGGACAAGGGGAGAUGAUCAUGAACCAUCUACUUUUUUAAACGGUUUGUUCACUUUAUUGUGUAUUUAAAAGGAGAAUACUUGGACCAAACAACACAGUUUAAGAGAUUAAUGGGGAUGAGAAGAAUUCUAGUGCCUCUGCUGCUUUGCUCAGCCCUCUGUGUGGGUGUGGUCAGCCUAACCAUAAACCACACCUCCCGCGUCAGAUUUCACACAGGGAGACGCAUCACAUUGCCCUGCACUAAGACAACACUUACAGGGGUGGUCCAGUACUGGCACACCCCAUUCGGACGUGUCCAGAACAGCAGUCUCCAUUUCAACCAGGAGGAUGUGGUUGCUAUGCAACAUGACGGUAGCCUGCAAAUCCAGAGCUCUACUCCUCAACACAGCGGCCUGUACUACUGCCUCCUACUGGCUGGAAAACAUACUACACUCACACCCUACCUGCUGAAUACUUGCGGUCAACAGGAUGGUUCUGACAAACCCCGGCGAGUGGUAAGGAGCGUUCUGGCUGGUCAGGCAGAGGAGAAGGAUGUUGCUCUGGUUUCUGACGGUGUGUUUGAAUCAGCUGUGGUUGCGUCAGUCGUGGUGACGUUUCUGGUGGGGUUCAGUUUUGGAGCUCUGAGUAGGACACUACUGGACAGGUGUAUGAACCGGUUGCGGUCGCUAGGCCAAGGGUGUCGUAACCAUGGUAAAACAGUCUGCGUGGCCUUCCGUAACAAUGUAGAACCGGAGGAUGACUCCACCUUGUUAACAGUUGUUACCAUGGAAAAUGCCAACAGCUCCCCGCCGGCCAAACCUAAGAGGAGCUUCCGGGGGAAACAAUCUGUAGAGAAUACUGCUUAUUUAGAGGGCUGCGACCAAGAGAGAGAAGUGAAAGAGAGGGAGAAGGGAGACCGCAUAGACAGAGAUGAGACGAGUGGGAGAGAGGGAGCAGUAGGAGGGAUAGACAGCGAGGAAGGGAGGAAAAGGAAUGACAGUGAGGAGAGGGAGAGGAAGGAAAUGGAGGAAGGUAGUGAGAUUGAGGAGAAAAAGCAGAGUGAGAUUGAGGAGGGGAAAGAGAGGAGUGAGAGUGGGGAGGUGAAAGAGAGGAGUGAGUGUGGGGAGGGGAAAGAGAGGAGUGAGAGUGGGGAGGGGAAAGAGAGGAGUGAGAGUGGGGAGGGGAAAGAGAGGAGUGAGAGUGGGGAGGGGAAAGAGAGGAGUGAUAGUGGGGAGGGGAAAGAGAGGAGUGAGAGUGGGGAGGAGAAAAAGCAGAGUGAGAGUGAGGAGGGGAAAGAGAGGAGUGAGAGUGGGGAGGGGAAAGAGAGGAGUGAGAGUGAGGAGGGGAAAGAGAGGAGUGAGAGUGAGGAGGUGAGAAAGAGGGAGAACGUGAGGACAGAAACCAAGGGAAUCGUUGAACAGGGAGCAUCUAGCAGCAGUAGUGGUGAUUCAGAUAUAGGGUCUGCUAGGGCAAGAGAUGGAGAAGAGAUCCAGGGAGAUCAAAAGCGUUCUGUCCCCCAGCUAGCCAGGCGGAGUCGUGUAAUUCGUCUGUACCAGUACGAUGAGGACGGGCAUCGCUAUGGUCACCUGCCUAACCCCAUCCCCACGGAUCAUCCCACCCCCCAGCCCAGGCAGCGCUCCUUGUCCCUCACCAGGCUCAGUGCUAUCAUGGCUACAGCCACUACCAGCGCCCUGGAUCCCACGAACGCCCCCUGUCCAGAGCCAGGCCCUGACCAAGAAGACCUCCCAGCCAACUCCACUCAGCGCCAGGAGAGAGCAGUCUUUCAACUAGGGAUAUGA
ensembl:lncRNA